rnacentral:rRNA from 1 species
UACGAAGGAGGCGAGCGUUGUUCGGAAUCACUGGGCGUAAAGGGCGCGUAGGCGGCCCUUCUUGUCGCGUGUGAAAGCCCCGGGCUCAACCUGGGAAUGGCGCGCGAGACGGGGGGGCUGGAGUUCGGGAGAGGAGCGUGGAAUUCCCAGUGUAGAGGUGAAAUUCGUAGAUAUUGGGAAGAACACCGGUGGCGAAGGCGGCGCUCUGGACCGAGACUGACGCUGAGGCACGAAAGCUAGGGGAGCGAACGGG